AGUACCCCCUGACUAUCAUAGUCCAUAAUGACCCUUGCCCUUUCUGUCUGGGUUUUAUUUUCUCAGUUGGAUGAGCAGCAGAUUUUAGAACUCAUUUUUCUUGUCCAAUCCAACACUGGCCACAUAUUUUGUUUUUGUAUUCUUAGGUGGUUGAUGUCUUUUCUGUUCUGGUUGAGAAAUAAAGGGUUUGUGGACCUUGAGAGAAAACAUACAUUCAUGGCAAAAGGAGCAGCUAUGGGAUGAGGCUUGGCCAAUCCACAUCCAUGUCUUCAUCUCCCAUUGUGCCUGAAGCUGUGAUGUCAUCAUCUUCGUCACCUAGGAGGAGAUAGAGCUGAGGCACAGGAUUCCAUGUCCUCAGACCUCGAUGGAGGAAGCUGCACAUGAGGCCAGUUUAUCCCCAAAUGGUGUUCCUUGGCUCUAUGCCCUGUUUUAUAUGCUCUUUAUCUUUUUUCUCUUUGUCAUGUUUUCUCCCUUUUUACUUGAGAUAGACCAACAUGUAAAGAAAUGUAAGUGCCACAGUGGGCUCUAGGGCACAGGAAAAUUAUAGUAAGAGAAUGUGUGUAUGGAGAGAGGAGAAGUUAUAUAUUAUAAUGUGGGGAACAUGAGGGAAAAUAUUUACUCUUCUCUAAUCUCCAAGGCCUCAAUGACCCUGGGCUAAAGAUCUUAGAAUUACAAUCUUCUAUGUGAUAGAAAUACUUGCAGAACAUGGGUCAGGACCAGGCUAAGCAGUCCACCAGGAAUGUGAAAGAUGAGGAAGUAUCUGGGGCCAUGCUUGAGCUUACAUAAUGCCCAGGUUUAAGGAUACAAGGAACCCUGUGGAACUGGGAAUAUAUGAAGGAAUUUCCAGAUGAUGUUGUCUGACCCAGCAUGCUUUGUCUUAGUCUUGCUCAAAUGCAGGUUUACUCUGCACAAUAUUGUCCAUAAGGAUAAAGAAAAUGAUGACAUGAAGAUAGACCACCUAGGAAGACCAGGCUGUCCCCUGGAGUCACCAAGGACAGAAGUUCUUGGAGGGAAGGAAGAUGAGAUGAGAGGAGAUCCCCCACUGUUUGUGAGGAUAGCAAAACAGCCCAGGGAUUCCGAGACUGAGAUCUAUUCCCCUGGACCAUCCGUUUGAUGAGAGAGGCUAAGGUUGUAAGGAGUCCUGUGACAUCAUAUCCCAGAUGGGAGAGGUCUUCAGAGACCCUCAUUGCCUGUGUUUAUACUGGGGAAAAAAGAUAAUAAAU